UGAUAUAAUGACCGAGAAUAGGUGCUAGAUUUUUAAUCUUGUUACGAAGUUAUCUUCUUAUUUCAA
rnacentral:tRNA from 1 species